rnacentral:rRNA from 1 species
UGAUGCGAUCAUACCAGCACUNGAACUCCGAAGUCUAGCGUGCUUGGGCGAGAGUAGUACUAGGAUGGGUGACCCCCUGGGAAGUCCUCGUGUUGCAUCCU